AACCAUUUUUUUUUAUCUUAGUAUGCAGCCACAUCUUUUGCUGAGCAGUCUCUAAAACAUCUGUUGCAAUCCUUCCUUUUGUUUAUACCAUCGAAAGCACUGUCUGUGAGUUCUGGGUUAACACAGGACAUAAAUUGAUAUAAGAAUGGUAUUUUUGUGAAUUUCACUCCUGUUCAUUCUGGGUAUGAAGAUGCUGCUCAAUAAAGUGCCAGGAGUUCGGACGCUAUAUUCUGGCUCCCGGAUUCAUUUGAA